rnacentral:rRNA from 1 species
UACGUAGGGUGCGAGCGUUGUCCGGAAUUAUUGGGCGUAAAGAGCUCGUAGGCGGCCUGUCGCGUCGGAUGUGAAAGCCCGGGGCUCAACCCCGGGUCUGCAUUCGAUACGGGCAGGCUGGAGUGUGGUAGGGGAGAUCGGAAUUCCUGGUGUAGCGGUGAAAUGCGCAGAUAUCAGGAGGAACACCGGUGGCGAAGGCGGAUCUCUGGGCCAUUACUGACGCUGAGGAGCGAAAGCGUGGGGAGCGAACAGG